CGUAAAUCAAAUAAUGAGAGAUACAGAGUUUUAGUGUUAUAUAAAAAAAAAAAAUAAUAAUAAUAAUAAUAAUAAAAAUAUAUGUGUUUAUAUAUGCGCGCGCGCGCGCGUGUGUGUGUACAUACGCGCGUCGUUGACGGUACGA